rnacentral:rRNA from 1 species
UACAGAGGGUGCGAGCGUUAAUCGGAAUUACUGGGCGUAAAGGGUGCGUAGGUGGUUUAAUAAGUCAGAUGUGAAAUCCCCGGGCUCAACCUGGGAACUGCAUUUGAAACUAUUAGGCUAGAGUACGGUAGAGGGAAGUGGAAUUUCCGGUGUAGCGGUGAAAUGCGUAGAUAUCGGAAGGAACAUCAGUGGCGAAGGCGACUUCCUGGACCGUAACUGACACUGAGGCACGAAAGCGUGGGGAGCAAACAGG